rnacentral:rRNA from 1 species
GAGGAUGCGAGCGUUAUCCGGAUUUAUUGGGUUUAAAGGGUGCGCAGGCGGAGUGUCAAGUCAGCGGUAAAAUUUCGGGGCUCAACCCCGGCGAGCCGUUGAAACUGACGCCCUUGAGUGCGCGAGAAGUAUGCGGAAUGCGUGGUGUAGCGGUGAAAUGCAUAGAUAUCACGCAGAACUCCGAUUGCGAAGGCAGCAUACCGGCGCGCAACUGACGCUCAUGCACGAAAGCGUGGGUAUCGAA